CAGUAGUGCCGCCUCUGCUGAUCAAGAUGGGGCUGGGCAGGGAAGUGCGCACACGAUUUGUGUAGGUGUCAUGGUGUGUGUGUGUGUGUGUGUCAGGAAGCUGCGGAGGGAUACUUCACUUACAGCCAUUGAAACUGACAUUUCCAUGCAUCUAGAUUAUGAGCUCAGGCAUUGAAGCCGCCUCAACUCCUAGAAGCCAAUAUACCCACUGGUAAGGGCAGAGGUGACCAACUGCGGAUAAUAUGGUGCUGAACUGCAGAUCCACAGAAAGAUCUGCAACUGCACAUUCAAAACAGGUGUACUGUCUUGGCCAGUGAAUUUGAGCCCUUGUCUCCAAAGCAGGAAGAAGACACAACAUGGACAGAAGUGAAUGGACAGAAGUGAACAGGUGCUUCUGGGGAUUAGGGCUAGCUAUGUGUAACACAAUUUGGACCUUGGAAAACCACUUACAGUGUGCUGUCAUGUAAUCUUAUGACUGUUUAUAUUUUUGGUGUUGUGAAUUGUCCCACCAGAGUCUGGUACCUGAGAAUUAGUUAGUAUACAAAGCAAAGUGUAACCUACUUAUUCGGUUUCUAUUCAAGGACAAAGUUAACCUGGUAUGGGUAACCUAUAAAGAGGGUGAGACUAUUGAAACAUAUGGGAAGCUGUAAUUUACCCCCUGUUCUAAAUUAUUAUGCAAAUUCUAUUUAAGUGUCACAAAUAUUAAAUAUUUUGUUUUUCAGUUUAACUCAUGGAUGGCAUUGUGUCUCAGGGCUCUUUUGAUCACUGAAAACAAUCUCGGACACUUGUGAUAACUAAAUUGCCAGGUGAGCCCAAUUUAAGAAAAAGCUACUAAAGGUGGGUGUUCCACAUUACUAAGCAGAGAACCAUUUUCAAGUAAUAUGGGGAAGAAAAAGGAUCUCUCUGCUGCCGAAAAGAGUGAAAUAGUUCAAUACCUUGGACGAGGUAUGAAAACAUUAGAUAUUUCAUGAAAACUUAAGCGUGAUCAUCGCACAAUUAAGAGAUUUGUGGCUGAUUCAGAGCACAGACGGGUUCGUGUAGAUAAAGGCACAUUGAGGAAGAUUUCUGCCAGAUCCAUGCAUCGGAUCAAGAGAGCAGCUGCUAAAAUACAAUUACAUGGCAGCAAACAGAUAUUUGAAGCUGCUGGUGCCUCUGAAGUCCCACGGACAUCAAGGUGUAGAGUCCUCGAAUAUUCGUGAAUAUAGCGCUAUAUAUUCGUAAUGACGAAUAUUAUUAUUUUUUUUUUCUUCACAGUACACAUCUCUGCUUCCAGCUUAUGUGG